rnacentral:rRNA from 1 species
UCAUUCUAGAUACACUUUCCAGUACAUCUACUAUGUUACGACUUAUCUUACCUUAAUAAUAAGAGCGACGGGCGAUGUGUACAUAUUUUAGAGCUAAAAUCAAAUUAUUAAUCUUUAUAAUUUUACAACCAAAUCCACCUUCAAAAAUUUUUUCAUAAUUUUAUCCGUUUAAAUAAAUUUAUUGUAACCCAUUAUUACUUAAAUAUAAGCUACACCUUGAUCUGAUAUAAAUUUUAAUUAAAAUUAUUGAAUAUUAUUAUUCUUAUAAAAUAUUCUGAUAACGACGGUAUAUAAACUGAUUACAAACUUAAGUAAGGUCCAUCGUGGAUUAUCGAUUAAAAAACAGGUUCCUCUGGAUAGACUAAAAUACCGCCAAAUUUUUUAAGUUUCAAGAACA